GCAACAAAAAGAACAUCCUAAGUUCAAGCGAAAGGGAGAUGAUCUUUUUGUUGAGCACACAUUGACCUUGACUGAGGCCCUAUGUGGUUUCCAGUUUGUCUUGACUCACCUAGACAACAGACAGCUGCUCAUUAAGUCCCAACCUGGCGAAGUUGUCAAGCCUGGUAGGCCCAAAGAACCCCUAAUGACCUUUAAAAGAUUUUGUUUAAUGCAAUUGAGUCUCCAUCAUCAGUUAAUUACUCUGGCAAGUGCCAAUCUUAGCAAAAAAAAAUUUCCAACACCAAUUUCAACAUUUUCCCUCACGUGUUGCCAUUUAUACUAGUAAAAAUAGUACUCCUAAUAACCAGUAGUACUAAUAUAUUACCUGUUUAUAUUGUUUUCUUCAAGCCUUCAAACAGAAAGAUGACAAUUCCAACUCCUUCUGCGUUUGUGAUCCUUUAUUUCCUUCCAUUUUCUUCCCACACAACUAUGUAGAUUCAUGUUUAUCUAAGCCUUCUGUCUUUCACUCCCUCUCUCUGCACACGCCCACAUGUAUAUGCUUCAUGAAUAUAUCUUGGGAAAUACUGACCCCAUUUUUUUCUUUGGCUCUGCAGAUCAGUUUAAGGCUAUCAAUGAUGAAGGAAUGCCAAUGUACCAAAGGCCUUUCAUGAGAGGUAAAAUGUACAUUCACUUCACUGUUGAUUUCCCCGAGUCAUUAACACCAGAGCAGUGCAAGAACCUUGAGGCUGUGCUGCCUCCAAGACCCAAAUUGCAAGUGUCUGAUAUGGAAUUAGACGAGUGCGAGGAGACUACUUUGCAUGAUGUGAACAUUGAGGACGAGAUGCGAAGGAAGCAGCAAGCUGCCCAAGAGGCAUACGACGAAGAUGAUGAUAUGCCUGGUGGUGCACAGAGAGUCCAAUGUGCACAGCAGUAAUUUGGUAUUUGCUAUCUUGUGAUAUUGGGUAGAUUACUUACCAGUAAAGGAUAUGGAU
rnacentral:lncRNA from 1 species